rnacentral:rRNA from 1 species
UACGUAGGGUGCAAGCGUUAAUCGGAAUUACUGGGCGUAAAGCGUGCGCAGGCGGUUUUGUAAGUCUGUUGUGAAAUCCCCGGGCUCAACCUGGGAAUGGCAAUGGAGACUGCAAGGCUAGAGUUUGGCAGAGGGGGGUAGAAUUCCACGUGUAGCAGUGAAAUGCGUAGAUAUGUGGAGGAACACCGAUGGCGAAGGCAGCCCCCUGGGUCAAAACUGACGCUCAUGCACGAAAGCGUGGGGAGCAAACAGG